UACGGAGGGGGCUAGCGUUGUUCGGAAUUACUGGGCGUAAAGCGCACGUAGGCGGCUUUGUAAGUUAGAGGUGAAAGCCCAGGGCUCAACCCUGGAAUUGCCUUUAAGACUGCAUCGCUAGAAUUGUGGAGAGGUAAGUGGAAUUCCGAGUGUAGAGGUGAAAUUCGUAGAUAUUCGCAAGAACACCAGUGGCGAAGGCGGCUCACUGGCCCGGAACUGACGCUGAGACGCGAAAGCGUGGGGAGCAAACAGG
rnacentral:rRNA from 1 species